rnacentral:rRNA from 1 species
CUGUUUCUUAAAUAUUUAUUGAAUUUGACUUUUAAGUGAAAAGGCUUAAAUAAAUCAAAAAGACGAUAAGACCCUAUAAAUCUUUACAAUAAAUAUAUUUUAUAUUUUAACUUAUAAGUGUAUAAGAGAUAAAAAUAUAGAUUUGUUUCGCUGGGGCGGCGUAGAUAUAUAAAUAAACUGUCUAUAAUUUAAAUACAGUAAUUAUUGCUUAAUAUAAAUUGAUCCUUAAAUAGAUUAAAAGAUUAAGAUACUUUAGGGAUAACAGCGUUAUUUUUUUUGAGAGUUCUUAUCGAAGAAAAAGUUUGCGACCUCGAUGUUGAAUUAAAGUAUCUCU